rnacentral:rRNA from 1 species
GCAGUCGACGGCAGCGCGAGAGAGCUUGCUCUCUUGGCGGCGAGUGGCGGACGGGUGAGUAAUAUAUCGGAACGUGCCCAGUAGCGGGGGAUAACUACUCGAAAGAGUGGCUAAUACCGCAUACGCCCUACGGGGGAAAGGGGGGGAUCGCAAGACCUCUCACUAUUGGAGCGGCCGAUAUCGGAUUAGCUAGUUGGUGGGGUAAAGGCUCACCAAGGCAACGAUCCGUAGCUGGUUUGAGAGGACGACCAGCCACACUGGGACUGAGACACGGCCCAGACUCCUACGGGAGGCAGCAGUGGGGAAUUUUGGACAAUGGGGGAAACCCUGAUCCAGCCAUCCCGCGUGUAUGAUGAAGGCCUUCGGGUUGUAAAGUACUUUUGGCAGAGAAGAAAAGGUAUCCCCUAAUACGGGAUACUGCUGACGGUAUCUGCAGAAUAAGCACCGGCUAACUACGUGCCAGCAGCCGCGGUAAUACGUAGGGUGCAAGCGUUAAUCGGAAUUACUGGGCGUAAAGCGUGUGUAGGCGGUUCGGAAAGAAAGAUGUGAAAUCCCAGGGCUCAACCUUGGAACUGCAUUUUUAACUGCCGAGCUAGAGUAUGUCAGAGGGGGGUAGAAUUCCACGUGUAGCAGUGAAAUGCGUAGAUAUGUGGAGGAAUACCGAUGGCGAAGGCAGCCCCCUG